AUGAGGUAAGGCCUGCCCAAUGUUUAAAUCAAUGGCCGCGGUAUCCUGACCGUGCGAAGGUAGCAUAAUCAUUAGUCUCUUAAUUAGAGGCUGGUAUGAACGGCUAAACGAGAAAAGGACUGUCUCUAACAGAAAAAUUGAAAUUCAUUUUUAAGUGAAAAAGCUUAAAUCUCUCUGAAGGACGAUAAGACCCUAUAGAGCUUCAUUCUUUUAAAAUCAAAAUUUAAUAGAUGUGAUAAACUCGAUUUAAAAAGGAAUUUUGUUGGGGCGACAGAAAGAAAUCAAAAAACUCUUCAUACUUAGAACAGCCAUCGCUGAUCACUAGAUCCUCACUGAGAGAUCAAAAGAACAAGUUACCUUAGGGAUAACAGCGUAAUCCUUUCCAAGAGUUCUUAUCGACGAAAGGGUUUGCGACCUCGAUGUUGGAUUAAGAAAUUACUUAGGUGCAGCAGCUUAGGUAAAAGGUCUGUUCGACCUUUAAAUUCUUACAUGAUCUGAGUUCAA
rnacentral:rRNA from 1 species